rnacentral:rRNA from 1 species
UAACCUGGUUGAUCCUGCCAGUAGUCAUAUGCUUGUCUCAAAGAUUAAGCCAUGCAUGUCUAAGUAUAAGCUUUUAUACAGUGAGACUGCGAAUGGCUCAUUAAAACAGUUAUAGUUUAUUUGCUAUUCGUUUAUAUGGAUAACCGUAGUAAUUCUAGAGCUAAUACAUGCAUUAUUCGCGACUCACGAAGCGUAGUAUUUAUUAGAUAAGCACCACGGGCUUCGGCUUGUGUGAGGAAUCAUAAUAACUGAGCGAACUACCAUCGGUAGUGAAGCAUUCAAGUUUCUGCCCUAUCAGCUUUCGAUGGUAGUGUAUUGGACUACCAUGGCGUUGACGGGUAACGGAGAAUUAGGGUUCGAUUCCGGAGAGGGAGCCUGAGAAACGGCUACCACAUCUAAGGAUGGCAGCAGGCGCGCAAAUUACCCAAUCCUAACUCAGGGAGGUAGUGACAAGAAAUAACAACUUCGGGCUUGCCCGAGAUUGGAAUGAGUACAACGUACAAUCUUUAACGAGUACCAACUGGAGGGCAAGUCUGGUGCCAGCAGCCGCGGUAAUUCCAGCUCCAGUAGCGUAUACUAAAGUUGUUGCAGUUAAAAAGCUCGUAGUUGAAUUUCUGUGUAGUGUACUUGCGGUCUCCGGACCAAUAUAUACUGCACAUCCAUCUGAACAGCACUUCUUGUCAUUCAUUUGUCGGUUGUGCGAUCAGAUACUUUACCUUGAGAAAAAUCAAGAACGAAAGUUAAAGGGAUCGAAGACGAUCAGAUACCGUCGUAGUCUUAACCAUAAACUAUGCCGACUAGAGAUUGGAGGUGCAAUCUCAAUACUCCUUCAGCAUCUUAGGAGAAAUCAAAGUCUUUGGGUUCUGGGGGUAGUAUGGUCGCAAGACUGAAACUUAAAGGAAUUGACGGAAGGGCACCACAAGGUGUGGAGCCUGCGGCUUAAUUUGACUCAACACGGGGAAACUUACCAGGUCCAGACAUGGGAAGGAUUGACAGAUUGGAGAUCUUUCUUGAUUCCAUGGAUGGUGGUGCAUGGCCGUUCUUAGUUGGUGGAGUGAUUUGUCAGGUUAAUUCCGAUAACGAACGAGACCUCAACCUGCUAACUAGUUGCAGCUUCUUUCAAGUUGUAGACUUCUUAGAGGGACUAUAGGAUUUAACCUAAGGAAGUUUGAGGCAAUAACAGGUCUGUGAUGCCCUUAGAUGUCCUGGGCCGCACGCGCGCUACACUGAUGCAGGCACUAAGUCUCCAAUUUCGAAAGAUUUUGGGAACCUUCAAACUGCAUCGUGCUGGGGAUUGACACUUGUAAUUAUUUGUCAUCAACGAGGAAUACCUAGUAAGCGCAAGUCAUCAGCUUGCACUGAUUACGUCCCUGCCCUUUGUACACACCGCCCGUCGCUCCUACCGAUUGGGUGAUGCGGUGAGCCUUUCGGACGGGCGCUUCGGCGCCUGAAAGUUAUGCAAAUCUCAUCACUUAGAGGAAGGAGAAGUCGUAACAAGGUUUCCGUAGGUGAACCUGCAGAAGGAUCAA